GAAAAAUAUUUUCGAGAUUUUUGAUUACAUGUAAACAGACGGUGUUGUCAGGGGUUUUAACUUAAAAUAACAUAUUAAAAGCAGAUCUUUGAAAAUAAUUCUGUAUACACAUUUUCACAUGGUACUUUAUUUCAUGAGUCAAUAAGAAUAUUUAAAACUCUGUAUUUGCUAUAAAAACAGGAAAUCUGAGCACAAAAACGGAUGGGAAAGGAAUUAAAGUUGAAGCUAUCAAGGGCAGAUCCACAAUAAACCACGCACAUAUAAAUAGCAUAUCCUUGGCUUAAAUUGUAGGACUAUAUUCACUAUGCAAAGUUAAAAAAACUCCUCUUCUCUCUCAACAUGAUGAAAUUUAUAUUGAAAUGUUACCGACAUGUUAGUAUUUAAAUCCACCU